UACGUAGGGCGCAAGCGUUGUCCGGAAUUAUUGGGCGUAAAGAGCUCGUAGGCGGUUUGUCGCGUCUGCUGUGAAAACCUAAGGCUCAACCUUGGGCUUGCAGUGGGUACGGGCAGACUAGAGUGCGGUAGGGGUGACUGGAAUUCCUGGUAUAGCGGUGGAAUGCGCAGAUAUCAGGAGGAACACCGAUGGCGAAGGCAGGUCACUGGGCCGCAACUGACGCUGAGGAGCGAAAGCAAGGGGAUCAAACAGG
rnacentral:rRNA from 1 species